rnacentral:rRNA from 1 species
UACGUAGGGGGCAAGCGUUGUCCGGAUUAUUGGGCGUAAAGAGCGUGUAGGCGGCUCGGUAAGUCCGCUCUGAAAGCCCGGGGCUCAACCCCGGGAGGCGGGCGGAUACUGUCGGGCUAGAGUCCGGAAGAGGCGAGUGGAAUUCCUGGUGUAGCGGUGAAAUGCGCAGAUAUCAGGAGGAACACCAAUGGCGAAGGCAGCUCGCUGGGACGGUACUGACGCUGAGACGCGAAAGCGUGGGGAGCAAACAGG